UUCAUAAACUUAUCAAAGUCAUUUUUUUCCAUUACUUGCAUUUAACAAUUUCAAUCUGAGUUUGAUGACCUUCAUCAACUUGCCAGUGAGUGAGUGAGUGAGUAUGUAUGCUUUUUACGCCGUUUU